UGCAGUCAAGUCAAAUUCAGCCCCAUUCUGUGGUGGCCGGGGCUGGCCCAGAUGGCUGCCACAGUGAGCUCCACAGCCCAUGGGCCCCAGGUCCCCUGCCCUGGGACCUGGGGAUAAGUUCGGCUGCAGACAUGG